AUGUUGUUAAAGAAGCUUCUAAUAUAGUCACCUCACACAGUAACACAGUUUCCAGAUUUAGCAUCAGAGGCAUUCGGGUUAUGGCUAAGUUCAGCAAAACAACAACAAAUGCGUUUCUGCUGGCUCAAUAAUUCAGACUCCUGCUUUUCCAGGUCACAGAGACAUUUACGGCUAUGCGCGCCACCAGUUUACUUCAAAACCCCGCCGUCGAGUGCAAUGCUUUACAGUGGACAUAAAGCAGGAGAUGUUCAACAUCAUCACCGAUAAAUCUCGAAAUCAAAGCAAACCCAAAUGGAAGCAGAAACAAGUUCACAAGCUCUGAAAUUUGAUGUCGUCAGCAUCAACAUCCUGACAAAAUUCCAGUUCCUUUGUGGUUUUUUUGUUAAUCAUACAUAUUGUACAUCAUAAAUACCACCGGCCCUUUGUUUACUGUGAAAUCAAUUCCCCCAUCGCUUUACAUCAGACAGUAAACAGUGAUUUGGUGAAGAGGAUGUGAUGAAUGUCGCACAGCAGCUCAGGGGAGCGUCAUGUAAACGUGUGGAGAUCAGGAUCGUCCCCGGAGCCCAAUCCUCUACAGUCCUCGGGUUGAAGAGCCCAAGACGAAUAAAGACGACUGCCUGCCAAAGCAGAGCCCACGGGACACACGCUUUAUUAAAAAUAAGCGAGGAGGCAGCAUGAGACAUUAUGAAGAACAGAGCUGAAGUCUCCACCAGCUGGGAUAUUAUUAUGGCACACGUGCAGAAGACGACGACCUUUAUCAACGGAAGCGUCUGAAUCGAGUAGUGAUGAGUCGUCAAAUGUUGGGUGUUCAGAUUGUGUAUGUACACUACCGGUCAAAAGUUUGGUGUCAGUAGGAUUUUGAAAUGUUUUAAAAUAAGCUUCUCCUGCUCACCAAGGCUGCAUUUAUUUGAUCAAAAAUACAGUACAAACUUUACAAUUGUGAAAUGUUACUGCGCUAUAACUGUUCAAAAGGAGAUUAUCAUUUAAUUUAAUAAUUUAUUCCAGUGGUUCAGAGUCAUGUGAUCCUUUAAAAAUCACUCUAAUAUUAAUUCCUUUUCUUCUUCUUCUUCUUCUUCUUCUUCUUCUUCUUCUUCUUCUUCUUAUUAUUAUUAUUAUUAUUAUUAUUAUUAUUAUUAUUAAUGGUAAUAGUAGUACAAGUAACAAUGAUGAAGUAAUAAUUUCUUUUAAAACCACAUACAAUAGGAAAGCAGUUUUUUUAUUAAUUAUUUUUUUAAUUAUUUAAUAAAUUGCACCUUGAUAAACAAAAAUAAUUUUCUUAAAAAAAUAAAAAAUAAAAAAACUGACCCCAAACUUUUAACCAGUAGUGUAUAUACAAUAUUAUUUGGACUUUAUGAUCAACAGAAUGUAUGUAGGUGAUUUUCUGGAUGUUGUCUGUGGAGGUUUGUCUCGCACAUUUGCAAGUGUCAGAUUUGUAAUCUCUCCUUUUUUGUAACCGAUCAGGCACUGUGGGAUGUUCACUUUGCUUCACAAUAAAAUGAAAAAUGUG